GUACGGAAGGCGAGAAUUUUUCACAAUGGGCGCAAGCCUGAUGGAGCGACGCCGCGUGGGGGAUGAAGGGCUUCGGCCCGUAAACCCCUGUCAUUUGCGAACAAUGCUCUGGUGUGAACAGCGCCAGAGUUGAUGGUAGCGAAAGAGGAAGGGACGGCUAACUCUGUGCCAGCAGCCGCGGUAAUACAGAGGUCCCAAGCGUUGUUCGGAUUCACUGGGCGUAAAGGGUGCGUAGGUGGUGAGGUAAGUCGGAUGUGAAAUCUCUGAGCUCAACUCAGAAAUGGCAUUGGAAACUACCUUGCUUGAGGAUUGGAGGGGGGACUGGAAUUCUCGGUGUAGCAGUGAAAUGCGUAGAUAUCGAGAGGAACACCAGUGGCGAAGGCGAGUCCCUGGACAAUUCCUGACGCUGAGGCGCGAAAGCUAGGGGAGCAAACAGGAUUAGAAACCCGUGUAGUCCC
rnacentral:rRNA from 1 species